GAUGAACGCUAGCUACAGGCUUAACACAUGCAAGUCGAGGGACCGGCGCACGGGUGAGUAACACGUGUCCCACCUGCCCUUUACUCGGGGAUAGCCUUUCGAAAGAGAGAUUAAUACCCGAUAUAAAGGAUGGGGAUGCGUUCCAUUAGGUUGUUGGUAAGGUAACGGCGAACCAAGCCUUCGAUGGAUAGGGGUUCUGAGAGGAAGCUCCCCCACAUUUGAACUGAGACACUGUCCAAACUCGUACGCGGGGGAGCAGUGAGGAAUAUUGGGCAAGGGGCGCUAGCCUGAACCAGCCAAGUAGCGUGAAGGAUGAAGGCGUAUGGGUCUAAAACUUCUUUUAUAGAAGAAUAGGUAUUAUAUGAAGAAGGAUCGGCUAACUCCGUGCCAGCAGCCGCGGUAAUAC
rnacentral:rRNA from 1 species